UAAUAAGUGUUUUAUGGCACUUUUUUAAAUCCAUAUCCACCCUUGUGUGCAAUGUCGGUCGAUCUUCUUUUUUUUGAGGAUCGACCAAACAUCAACCUUUAUUUUUUAACUCUUUGUCUGAAAAAUAUUAUGAAUAAACAAUUCAAAAUA
rnacentral:misc_RNA from 1 species